rnacentral:rRNA from 1 species
AUUGAACGCUGGCGGAAUGCUUUACACAUGCAAGUCGAACGGCAGCACGGGGCAACCUGGUGGCGAGUGGCGAACGGGUGAGUAAUACAUCGGAACGUGCCCAAUCGUGGGGGAUAACGUAGCGAAAGUUACGCUAAUACCGCAUACGAUCUACGGAUGAAAGCGGGGGAUCGCAAGACCUCGCGCGAAUGGAGCGGCCGAUGUCAGAUUAGGUAGUUGGUGGGGUAAAGGCUCACCAAGCCAACGAUCUGUAGCUGGUCUGAGAGGACGACCAGCCACACUGGAACUGAGACACGGUCCAGACUCCUACGGGAGGCAGCAGUGGGGAAUUUUGGACAAUGGGCGCAAGCCUGAUCCAGCCAUUCCGCGUGCAGGAUGAAGGCCUUCGGGUUGUAAAGCUCUUUCGGCCGGAAGAAAUCGUAUGGGUUAAUACCCUGUGCGGAUGACGGUACCGGCAUAAGAAGCACCGGCUAACUACGUGCCAGCAGCCGCGGU